CAGCAGCCGCGGUAAUACGUAGGGUGCAAGCGUUGUCCGGAUUUACUGGGCGUAAAGAGCGCGUAGGCGGUCUGUUAAGUGUAGAGUGAAAGCUCCGGGCUCAACUCGGAAAUUGCUCUGCAUACUGGCAGACUUGAGGAUGGAAGAGGUUUGUGGAAUUCCUGGUGUAGCGGUGAAAUGCGUAGAUACCAGGAGGAACACCUAUGGCGAAGGCAGCUCGCUGGAACGUUACUGACGCUGAGACGCGAAAGCGUGGGGAGCAAACAGGAUUAGAUACCCCAGUAGUCCCUGUCUCUUAUAA
rnacentral:rRNA from 1 species